rnacentral:rRNA from 1 species
GACGAACGCUGGCGGCGUGCUUAACACAUGCAAGUCGAACGGAAAGGCCCUGCUUUUGUGGGGUGCUCGAGUGGCGAACGGGUGAGUAACACGUGAGUAACCUGCCCUUGACUUUGGGAUAACUUCAGGAAACUGGGGCUAAUACCGGAUAGGAGCUCCUGCUGCAUGGUGGGGGUUGGAAAGUUUCGGCGGUUGGGGAUGGACUCGCGGCUUAUCGGCUUGUUGGUGGGGUAGUGGCUUUCCAAGGCUGUGAUGGGUAGCCGGCCUGAGUGGGUGACCGGCCACACUGGAAGUGAGACACGGCCCAGUGGCCUACGGGAGGCAGCAGUAGGCAAUCGGGCGCAAGGGGCGGGAGACUGUCGGAGCAGGGCCGCGUGCGGGAUGAAGGUCCCCGGGUCGGAAAACUCGGUUAUUAGGUAGGAACCCGUUUUUCCGUGACUAGACACGUCGUGGCGGUAACUGGUUAAAAAACCACGGCUAACUACGUG